ACUGAGCAGGCCGUGACUUAAUUCAUGGAGCCGGGCCAUAAUGGCAGCAGAAGCUUAUGCGCAUCUGCGGGACAG
rnacentral:ncRNA from 1 species